UACGGAGGGGGCUAGCGUUGUUCGGAAUUACUGGGCGUAAAGCGCACGUAGGCGGUUUGUCACGUCAGAUGUGAAAGCCCCGGGCUCAACCCGGGAAAUGCAUUUGAUACGGGCAGACUAGAGUGUGGAAGAGGUUAGUGGAAUUCCCAGUGGAGAGGUGAAAUUCGUAGAGAUUGGGAAGAACACCCGUGGCGAAGGCGGCUAACUGGUCCACAACUGACGCUGAGGUGCGAAAGCGUGGGGAGCGAACAGG
rnacentral:rRNA from 1 species